rnacentral:rRNA from 1 species
GCGGCCUAUCAGCUUGUUGGUGAGGUAAUGGCUCACCAAGGCGACGACGGGUAGCCGGCCUGAGAAGGCGACCGGCCACACUGGGACUGAGACACGGCCCAGACUCCUACGGGAGGCAGCAGUGGGGAAUAUUGGGCAAUGGAGGGAACUCUGACCCAGCGACGCCGCGUGCGGGAUGAAGGCCUUCGGGUUGUAAACCGCUUUCAGCAAGGAAGAAGCGAAAGUGACGGUACUUGCAGAAGAAGCACCGGCUAACUAUGUGCCAGCAGCCGCGGUAAUACAUAGGGUGCAAGCGUUGUCCGGAAUUAUUGGGCGUAAAGAGCUCGUAGGUGGUUCGUCACGUCGGAUGUGAAAAUCUGGGGCUUAACCCCAGACCUGCAUUCGAUACGGGCGAGCUAGAGUGUGGUAGGGGAGACUGGAAUUCCU